rnacentral:rRNA from 1 species
GACGAACCGAGCGAACGUUGUUCGGAAUCACUGGGCUUAAAGGGCGCGUAGGCGGGCGGCCGCGUCCGGGGUGAAAUCCUCCCGCUUCACGGGAGAACGGCCUCGGAUACGGGCGGCCUCGAGGGGGGUAGGGGCGUGCGGAACUGUGGGUGGAGCGGUGAAAUGCGUUGAGAUCCACAGGAACUCCGGUGGCGAAGGCGGCACGCUGGACCCCUCCUGACGCUGAGGCGCGAAAGCCAGGGGAGCGAACGGG